GCGGGCGUAGCUCAGUGGUAGAGCGAUUCCUUGCCAAGGAAUAGGUCGCGCGUUCGAGCCGCGUCGCCCGCUCCA
rnacentral:tRNA from 1 species